GCCGGGCUUGGCAACGCGAGCCUGUAACCUGAGUAGGGGCAUUAAGGUGGUGGGACGUUACUCUGGCCCAGUAGGCUGGAUUCGGCGUGACUAUGAUCUGGCUCGCCCGUUCCAAGCUAAGAGUUGAUCCAUGUGGCUUGGGCGAAGGCCCGGGCUCCAUGGGUCCUAGAGCGGAGGGCACAGCGUUAGGCUGGUUUCACAGAGCAGCGAUAACCUCCCUCUCUUGGCAGUGGAAGGAUAACGGACCGGUGUUACCCGGAGCCAUAGAAGCCUAAUGGACCGUGUGAACUGGACCAUCAUUUUU
rnacentral:SRP_RNA from 1 species